ACUACCAGCUGUUUUUUCCAGAAGGAUGACCAGCCAUGCUGGUAUUUUCAGGAGGGAGAUGGAGACAUUGAGCACUGUAGUGUGUGUAUUUGACACAUAGUCACUGUUUUACUGUAGUUCACUGCUCCCUAUAGCCUAGGCCCCAUAGAGCAGAUGUUUGACUCCUUAGGGCCUCAACCCAGUUUCUCUCUGUCAGGCAGACAUCAAGUCAGUGGACCUUAGUGCUUGCUGGGUCACUAGCAAAGCUGUGUAAAUCUCUGUUUGAAUGUGUGUGUGAGAUUGUGUGUGUGUGUGCGUGUGUGUACUCUGAAUGUAUAUUAUCUCUCCAAACACUCUGUGGACAGUGCAUUAAAUGUGUUUGAGUUGGCCAGAGGUUUCUUUCCUUGCGAUAACAGUCCGUCGUUAGUAGCCAACGAAGGAAAGGAACAGUUACUGUUUGGGGUGCGGCAAUGUCAGUCGCCAUGACGAUACCGAAAUCAACCUGUCAGCCUGUCGGGACCGGCAGAGAUGGGAGCGAUAUGUAAUAAGUGUGUGUGUUAUCCUGUAUUUGUUGACAGAUCUUCACACCCUGUUGAUUAGCAUCUUGAAGCUUUGGUAGUGUGAGAGUGCUAAUGUGUUAGCACAUCUAGCGAGCUACACCCAAACCCACCGGACAGGGAGGAACGUACCCCUACACUCCAUAUCUGUCCCAGACAGGCCAGUGGUCACUGCCUUUGCCAGGCUUGGAAGUUUUGAAACUAGGCCAAGUUCCACCAUGAUAGAGCACGACAAGUACCACAUGCUGGUUUAAUGACCAUGAUAGAGCACGACAAGUACCACAUGCUGGUUUAAUGAUACAGCAAGUUACAUUUGAAUUUAAAAAAAUAAAAAAAAAUAAAAGGAAGACAAGAAGGUAUAUGUCUGUGUGUGUGUAUAUUUAUUAUGACUGAUCGUUAGUCGAUGAGAAAAGGCUUAGUUGACCACAUUUUUUUAGUUACUUAGUCGCAGAAAAAAAAAUUCACAGGAAGUGGUGAAGGCAUGCAUUCUGCGAUGAAAGAUCAUUAACAGUUGCUCUAUGUGGUAAUAUACAGUACAUCGGCCAGGGCAUCCA
rnacentral:lncRNA from 1 species